GACGAACGCUGGCGGCGUGCUUAACACAUGCAAGUCGAACGGAAAGGCCCUGCUUUUGUGGGGUGCUCGAGUGGCGAACGGGUGAGUAACACGUGAGUAACCUGCCCUUGACUUUGGGAUAACUUCAGGAAACUGGGGCUAAUACCGGAUAGGAGCUCCUGCUGCAUGGGGGGGGAUGGAAAGUUUCGGCGGUUGGGGAUGGUCUCGCUGCUUAUCAGCUUGUUGGUGGGGUAGUGGCUUACCAAGGCUUUGACGGGUAGCCGGCCUGAGAGGGUGACCGGCCACAUUGGGACUGAGAUACGGCCCAGACGCCUACGGGAGGCAGCAGUGGGGAAUAUUGCACAAUGGGCGGAAGCCUGAUGCAGCAACGCCGCGUGCGGGAUGACGGCCUUCGGGUUGUAAACCGCUUUCGCCUGUGACGAAGCGUGAGUGACGGUAAUGGGUAAAGAAGCACCGGCUAACUACGUG
rnacentral:rRNA from 1 species